AGGGUUUGUAUUUUGUAGAAGUAGAAAAAGAAAGUGAUGAAAUGUUCCAUUUCAUUAUUGUUUCAUAGGUUUUGUGCAAAAGAAACCCCUUAAGUUAUCCAUUUUUGUAAUUUUACCCUCUACAUUCAAAAAUGCAAAAUAAUCCUAUGGAAUAAAA
rnacentral:sRNA from 1 species